GGUUUAUCAAAAUACAAGAUCAUAUCAUCUACAAACAAGGAUAACUUUACUUCUUCAUUUCCAAUUUGGAUUCCCUUUAUAACAUUAUCAUGCCUGAUGGCUCUAGCGAGGACUUCCAGUACGAUGUUGAAUAACAGUGGUGACAGUGGGCAUCCUUCUCGUGUUCCAGAUACUAGAGGAAAGGCUUUCAGUUUUUCCCCAUUUGGUCUGUUGAAUAUGGCUUUCAUUAUGUUGAGUUUGGACCAAAUUCAAUUUUUCUUGGCUGCAAAUCUUCAAAAUAAAUGUUUUCAAUUUUUUUUCCUUCUUUUUUCCAUUUUUCCUAAUUUGGAGUCACUGAAAACUAAGCUGUGCUUUCUUGAAACCAUGCAAACUGAAGCCAGACAACUUAAACUUCAGAAGAAAAUAACAGCAACCUAUUUACAUACAUAAGCCACUUUCAUACCUGCCUACUGAUGUAUGGACCUCAAAGUAAUGAGGCCUACAUCAAAUUUUCCAGGAUUAUUCUUUUGUUUCUUGUUGUUGUUUCUCCCUUCCUCCCUGCUAUUUUCUCCUCACAGGACAUGAGACUUCACAACCUUCUAAAAAUGAGAUUUUGGGACAUAUGCAUCUAGAAAUAAACCAUCCUAGCCAUGAGAGAUCAGACAAAACCUGGGACCAGAGACUCAUUUUCUUGUAAAAUGCUUUCUCCAAAAGAUUUUUAAAAAGAAAAGAGAGGAAAUGUGAAAGGUAAAUAUCUUGGGCCCCCGAAAUCACUAAGGAAAACUCAAACUGAAAACUGCUUAGGGCAAACCUGCCUCCCAUUCCAUUCAAAGUCACUUCUCUGCUCACUGAGAUGAUGCAUAUCUAAUUUGCCUCCUUUGGAACGGUUAAUCAGAAAUUCAAAAGAAUGUAACCGUUUGUGUAUCACUUACCUAUCUGUGACCUGGAAGCUCUCUCCUGGCUUUGAGUCUUCCUGCCUUUGCUUCAAAUUGUCCCACCUCUCUGGACCAAACAAAUGUACUUCUUGCAUAUAUUGAUUGAUGUCUCAUAUCUCUCUAAAUGUAUAAAACCAAGCUGUGCCCUGACCACCUUAGGCACAUGUUGUCAGGACCUCCUAAGGCUGUGUCACAGGUGCACCCUCAACCUU
rnacentral:lncRNA from 10 species